CAUCUUCCCUCACUCCUGUAGGUUUCCAAAGCAAGAAGAGAAAACUUAAUCUUCUCUCCAAGACGCCCUAGCCAAUGCCCCACCUUCCUCUCUUCUUCUCCUCCCUUAUCAACUUCAAGAAACUAAGUUCCUCUCAUCUCCUUCAAGCUUUGUGACUCCAUAGUAAGGGGAGAAGAAAAAACAUUUUCCUUUCACCUUCUCCAAGCCACACGGGUUCAACAUAUUCCUACCCAUUUCCGAUUUUUGUUCAAAGCUUAAAUCCAAAGCUUGUUUUCAUCUUCCAAAGGGUGAAAUAUUGAAGGGGUAACAUAGUGUUAUCACUUUGUUCUUCAUCUACACGGCUAUACUACCAAUUGGUCCUUCACUUUGCAUCUUGAAAGGAGUUAAGGGCUUAAGGACCUAUUGUGAAGUUCGAAGUAUUGAGGUGCAUUGAGGUAAUGAUGAAAAGGCUGGGGAGCAGGGCAUUACAGCAGAGGGAGAGGCAGACACUUAGUGUCUUCCUUGUUAGUUCGACCUUACAUGGAUGAUGGGUUAUGCUUAUGGAUGAAUGUUUAAAUAGAAUGUCUAUCAGAUGUUGCCCUUUAUUAAAUUAGAAUUUUAGAGUACAUGUGUGAUAUGUUCAGGCUUAUCACAUAUUACUAGAAAAGAAAAGAAAUAAGAGAGAGAGAGAGAGAGAGAGAGAGAGAGAGAGAAUAGGUUAAGUAAUGAUUCCACCCUUCCUAGGGCGGGGCUGUUACACAUGUUUAAGACUAAGAGGUUUCAGCCAUGACCAUGGAUGAAGGGUUAGCAUGUUGUGACUAAAGUCUUGAAGGUAUGAAAUUAAUUUUCUUGCAUGCUA